GUCCCGCGGGGCUGAAUGGGCGUCCCUGACGCCGCCAGGGGCGAGGCUUUGGUGUUCCCUCAGCGCCCGGAGUCCUGCUGACACGUCCUCCUUAGGCCAGAAACCCUCCUUCUGAUCCUGCGCGAGAGGAGGGGGGGUGGGGGUCUCUGAGGGGAGCGGCGAGCCCGCCGGCCCCGGUCUCUUUCCCUGGCGGCGGCGGCUUCUUCCGUAGGACAAUAUGUUCAAGAGAAUGGCCGAAUUUGGGCCUGACUCCGGCGGGAGAGUGAAGGGGGUUACUAUUGUUAAACCAGUAGUUUAUGGUAAUGUUGCUGGUUAUUUUGGAAAGAAAAGAGAAGAGGAUGGGCACACCCACCAGAGGACAGUGUAUGUAAAACCAUGUAGAAAUGAGGAUAUGUGAACAUAUGUGAAGAAAAUCCAAUUCAAAUUACUUGAAAGUUAUGGCAGUCCUUUAAGAGUAGUUACUAAGCUUCCAUAUAAAUUACUGAAACAAGAUGGGGUGAAUUUGAAAUAAUCAUCAAAAUAUUUUUCAUUGAUCCUAAUUCUGAAAGACCUAUGUCAUGUCUGUUUUUAUUUCAUGGGUGACCCUGUAUCGUUAAUUGAAGCUGUUUCAACCAGACACCAGUGCAAUGCUGGGAAAAAAAACAACACAGUGGUCUCAGAGUUUUAUGAUGGAAUGGUAAGAAGAUUUUAUAAUAAGAGUUUUUAAAACAUUUUAAAUUGUAGAUUUUGAAGUUAUUGGGCUUUUUUUCAUUCUGUCCCAUUAGAUAUUUUAAGACCCAACAGCAAUGAUGCAAAACUUAUUAAGCAUACCUCGUCAGCUUACCUUAGGAGCCUAUAAGCAUGAAACAAAAUAUAAGUGCCAUGAGUUCAUAAUUAAUCCUGAGAAAUAAUGUAUUCUGUAAUGGUGAAAGGAUUGUGUGAUUAGUGACUAUUAAAUUUUUUUCCUUGUUAUAUAUAGGUAAAAUUUUUAGGAGUUAAAAAACAAAAUAUAUAUUACUAAAGAACAGGUAAGAAGGAUGUUUUAAGUAGCUUUCAAAGUAGGCCUGCUUUGAAAAAGGUAGAAGGCAGCCUGUCAUACACUCUGAAAUACUAUUUGGCUUUAAUUCACUAAUUACAUUUAAGAAUAGCAUUUUGGACUUCCCUGAUUAAGAAUCCGCCUGCCAAUGCAGAUGACACGGAUUCGAUCCCUGGUUCAGGAAGAUUCCACAUGCCGGGGGGCAACUAAGCCUGUGUGCCACAACUACUCAUGCUGCUCUCCAGAGCCUUUGAGCCACAACUGCUGAGCCAGUGCACCGCAACUACUGAAGCCCACGUGCCUGGAGUCCGUGCUCCACAAGAGAUGCCACCUCAAUGAGAAGCUUAUGCACUGCAACAAAGAGUAGACCCCACUCACCACAACUAGAGAAAAGUCCGUGAGCAGCAACGAAGACUCAAUGCAGCCAAAAAAAAAAAAAAAAUACCUUUUCAUUAAUCUUGCUUAACCUGUCACUCAAUCAUUUUCUGUUUACUAGUCUUUGCUAACAAAAUCGGCAUGAAGAACCUUGCAGAACGUGAUUAUACUUGAGUGCACUGUGAAAUGGUUUCUGUCUCUCUGUCUCUCUUUUUAACCUCUCACUUUACAUAGUUCUGUGUUAAUGCUGGGGUGUUGAAGACCAGAAUGCCAUGUUGAUAGUCAGCCAUGGUGUCUUUUCCUUUAAACUGAUGUGGCCUCAGAAUCCCCUACACAUCAUUUCAUGCAACUGUUGCCAAUCAUUAGCAGUUGUCAUUCAAGAUAAAACCCAUUUACCAACCCUGUGUUAACACUUAUGUCACCAUUUAUUCAUGUGUUCCUUUGAUCUUUCAUUUAUUCGCUUACAACAUAUAUUGAGCACCAAUAAUAUGCCAGGCAUUGUUCUAGGUUCAGAGGAUAGAGCAGUGUCUAAAGUAGACAAAAGCGAGGGCUGCCCUCACAGAGCUUACAUUCUACUGGAAGGAAGACAAAUAUUAAAUAAAUAGAACAAUAAAGUGUAAGGUAGUGAUUGGAUGGCAUGGGGAAAACUAAAGCAGGGGAAGGAACACUUUUGGUGGGAGGAGAUGGUUAGAAUCUUAAAUAUCAGAUCAGAGAAUGCUUCCUGAAAUGGUGGCAUUUGAUCAGGUCCCAAAAAGAGAGGGGAAAUGCCCCAUGCGGCUCCCUGCGGGAAGAAUGUUACGUGUAGGGGCAGCAAGGGCAGGAGCCCUGAGGGAAGAGCACGCCUGGCAUAUCUGAGGAACAGCAAGAAGGCCGGUGUGACUGGAGCCCAGGGAGCAGGGGCGCAGGGAGUGUGAGCUGAGGCCAAAGAAGUUAACAGGGGACCCGCUCAUAUAGGGACUUGUGGGGAGGGAGAUGUGAAGGCUUUUGUGGGUUUUGAGCAGAAGGGUGACAUUAUAUGACUCACAUUUUAAAACGAUCAAUCGCCGUGGUUGCUGUGUUGAAAACAGACUGUAAAGCAGAAAGGAUAGAAGCACAAUAGUUAGGAGGCUAUUGCAGUAAUCCCGUCACAAUAGAAUUGUGGGUCGUACCAGAGUGAUAGCAGUGGAGCUGGUGGGAAGGGGUCAGGUUCUGUUUUGAAGAUAGGUACAAUAGGAUUUGCUGAUCGUUUGAUAAUAGGAUGUAAGAGAAGGAGAUGAACAAAGAGUGACUCUUAAGGUUUGGGGCCUGAGGAAACAAAAUAAUAUUGUUGUUGCUUUUUCUAGAGAUAGGAAGUCUGGGAGGGGCAGGUUUCAGGGGAAAGAUGAGGAGUACAGUUUUGGACAUGAUGGUUGUGUGGUGCCUGUAAGUGGAGAUGUUGAGAAAGGAAUUGUACUCAAAAUCUGGUAUUCAAGGAGAGGUCUAGGCUGAAGAUAUAAAUUUGGAAGGUAAUAUAUAGAUGGAUUUACAAGUUGUGAGGCCAAAUGGUAUCAUCACAAGAGUAAGUGAAGAUACAAAAGAGGUUCAAGGAUUGAGCUCUGGGCACUCCCAACAUUUAGAGAUUAAGGAGAUGACCAGCAAAGGAAUUAGGAAAGAACAGUGAGUGUGGAGGGAGAAAAACUAGGUGCACAUAAUAUCCUAGAGCCAAGUGAAGAAAGUAUAGCAAGACACAGUCAUUAGCCAGUCCAGUAAGAUGAGAGCCAAGAAGAGGCUAGAGCCAGGUGGAGGUCCUUGGUGACCUUAACAGGAGCAGUUGAAGGAAAAUAGGACAGAAGAUCAGUUGAAAUGGAUCAAGAGAGAAUGAGACUUGAGAAAUUCGAGACAGUACUGUGGACAACUCUGUCCUGGAGCGUAACUGUAAAGGGAAAGUACCCUUUAAACAGUAACAAAAGCAGGAUUUGGGGUCAAGAGGGUCGUGUUUUCAGGGGCAAAUAGACCAGUAUAGCUGUAGGCUCUAAGAAGUGAUCUAGAAAAAGAAAGGGGUUCGGGGGAUGAGAAUGUAGGGGAGAAAGAAGUUGCUGUUUGACCAUUAAUGGUUAUAGUAGUGUUUUGUUUGCAUUCAUAUUUUCAUGAAACCCAUGACUGAAUACUGAUGAUAAUUGCCACUUGGUAGUCAUUUAAAAUUUAAAAUCACACUCAUUAAAAAAUUUUAUGGUUCACUUUCUACGUCUGAAAAAAUAUUUACUUGGCCUACUUUAUUAUGAACAUAAAACAGAUGUGUACAUGAUCAGUUUGGAAAGGUAGUAAGUACUGCUAAUAUGCUAUUUUACUUUGUUAUUGGUGAGUUUUUCUCCAUUAUAGAUCUUCUUUCUCCAAUACUAUGAAAUGUGCCCAAUUCAUAGAGCAAACUUCUCUUUUAAACUUCAAGUGCCCACAUUUCUGUGUUUUCAACAAAACUAAUAUCAUUAAUUCAUAUAUGUGUAGCAGUAGAGACAAAUGUGUUUUAUAAAAAGGCUUUUCUACAAAUUAAUUUUGAUGUGUUAAAGCUUAUGUGUGGAGUUUUAUAAUCUUGGGAAGCUUUUAUCAGUAAAUUGCACGUUUUGUAUUAUCUUCAGGUUAUUUUCUCAAUAGUAUCAAAUCCGUAAGGAAGAAAAAGAUAAUUCUGUAAAUGGUAUUGGAACAAUUGAUAACUUUUGAGAAGAAAAGUUAAUUUAGAUCAUUGCUUCAUAGCACUUAUCAAAACAAAUUUCAGUUUAAUUAAUAAUAGUUAACUGUUUUCUUUUUGAAGUCCUAACCUGCUUAAAAAAUUAGAGAGACGACUAUCCUGACUGGGGAAGACUUUUAAAAUUUGAGAUGUUGGAAGAAAUCACAUUAAAAGAAAGACAAACUUGAUUUUGCAGAAAAAAAUUUGUCGCAUUUCAAAAGGACAAAAGAGAAAAAUUAAUUUGUAGAAAAUAUGGCAAAUGAUUAAUAUCUUUAAAGCCCUAAAAUAAAUAAAAUAGAAUAAAAUUUUAAACUUCAGUUGGUAAAUGGACAAAAGACAUGGACAGAUGAAAGAGGAGAUGACUCGUUAAUAAAAAGGGAAAAUAUUUGACCCUGCUAGUAAUUUUUUAAAUGCAAACCAGAUAAUAAUGGGUUUUCAUAUUUAUAUCAAGUCAGCAGAAGGAACCUUUAGUAGUUGUACCUAUUAAGGGUGUGGUGAACCCUGUGUUCUAUGAAUUAUUUGUGUGAGUAGGCCUUUUAGGAAAGCAACUUGGGCAUAGUAAUCAAAGGUCUAAAAAAGAUGGGGAUAGUUUUACCAGUUUGAGAGCAUUAUACUCAGUAUUUGGUAAUAAUAUCAGAUUUAUUGAGUGCUAACUGUUUGUAGUCUUCUAAAUCUGUACAUGUAUAAACUCAUUUACAUCUACAAUAAUUUUAUUAGGUUUAUUAGGUAAUCCAUUUAGAAAAGGAAACGGGGGACCUCCCUGGUGGCACAGUGGUUAAGAAUCCACCUGCCAAUGCAGGGGACAUGGGUUCCAUCCCUGGGCCGGGAAGAUCCCACAUGCCACGGAGCUACUAAGCCCGUGAGCCACAACUACAGGGCCUGCACUCUAGAGCCCACAAGCCACAACUAUUGAGCCUGUGUGCCACAACUACUGAGGCCCGAGCACCUAAAGCACAUGCUCUGCAACAAGACAAGCCACUGCAAUGAGAGGCCUGCACACCACAGCGAAGAGUAGCCCCUGCUCGCCACAACUAGAGAAAGCCCACAAGCAGCAAUAAAGACCCAAUGCAGCCAAUAAAUAAAUAAAUAAAUAAAUAAAUAAAUAAAUAAAUUUAUUUUUAAAAAAAAAAGGCAAAGUAAAGUGAGGCAUAGGGAGAGUAAGAAACUUGCCCAAGUUAACACACGUCAGUGAUAGAGCCAGGACUUGAUGCUAAACUCAGAACUUAGGCUCUAAAAACAGUAAUAUUUUUAGAUAGAGUAAUAGGGUAGAGGUUGCUCAUUACUAAAGCACUUUAGAAGCUUAUAAAGAUAUUUAUACUGGUAAUUGUAGAAAUUUACUCAAAUACUAAUGAUCUAGCUUUUAAUAGGAAUUGCUUCUACAAGGAAUAAUUAAAAUGAUAGUGAAUGCUUAAUGAGAACUUACUUGUGGAAAUAUAAAUUGAUACAGCCACUGUGGAGAACAGUAUGGAGGUUCCUUAAAAAACAAAAACUAGGGACUUCCCUGGUGGCGCAGUGGUUAAGAAUCCACCUGCCAAUGCAGGGGACACGGGUUCCAUCCCGUGUAAUCAUUAACCUAUAUUAGCUUUGCAAAAGUAUUAAUUCUUCUUUGGAUUGAUUUAUUCUGAAUUGAGGCUUCAUUUGGACAUUUAAAACAGAAAAUUUAUAUAUAUAUUAAUGUAUACAUACACACACAUAUAAAAUGUAUGUAUAAGCAUUUAUAUAGGAAGCAGAAAACUAAAAUAGGCCAAAAGAAGUUUAGAUGUUUUCCCCUAGGAUCUCAUUGCUAAUUAAUCCAGUUCUUCUUCCAACAUACGUACGCUUUGCAGUCUUAUGAUUUGUCAAAAAUAAAGUAUAGUGACUAAAUCAGACAACAAAAAUUUGUAUCUACAGUGAAUGCUGUCCUCUGACAAAUGAGUUAAAUCAGGUCUUCCUGACUAGAUUUAAACACCCCCCCCCCCCCCCCACCGCCACACACACACACACAAUGGAAUCUUAGCCAUAAAAAAGGAGAAAUCUUGCCAUUUGGGACAACAUGGAUGGAACUUGAAGGCAGUAUGCUAAAUGAAAUGAAUCGGAGAAAGGCAAAUACAGUAUACUUUCACUUAUAUGUGAAAUCUUAAAAAAAAAAAGUUCAUAGAGAACAGAUUGGUGGUUGCCAGAGGUGGGAGGUGAGGAGUAGGCAAAAAGGUACAAACUGCUAAAUAUAAAAUAAAUGUCAUGGGGAUGUAAUUUACAGGAUGGUGACUGUAGUUAAUGAUACUGUAUUGCGUAUUUGUAAGUUGCUAAGAGAGUAGUUCUUGAAAUUUCUCAUCACAAGGAAAGAAUUUGUAACUAUAUAUGGUGACAGAAGUUAACUUCAGACUUACUGUGAUGAUCAUUUUGCAGUAUAUACAAGUAUUGAAUCAUUAUGUUGUACACCUGAAACUAGUGUGUUUUUUUAAAAUGUUUAUUUUUGGCUGUGUUGGGUCUUCGUUGCUGCGUAUGGGCUUUCUCUAGUGUGUCGAGCAGGAACUACUGUUCAGUGUGGUGCAUGGGCUUCUCAUUGCAGUGGCUUCUCAUUGCAGAGCACAGGCUCUAGGCACGCAGGCUUCAGUAGUUGUGGCACAUGGGCUCAAUAGUUGUGGCUUGCCGGCUCUACAGCACAGGCUCAGUAGUUGUGGUGCACGGGCUUAGGUGCUUCUGAGCAUGUGGAAUCUUCCCGGACAGGGAUCGAACCCGUGUCCCCUGCAUUGGCAGGUGGAUUCUCAGCUACUGUGCCACCAGGGAAGCCCUGACACUAGUGUGUUAUAUGUCAAUUAUAUCUCAAUUUUUAAAAAGGGGGGCGCCAAUAACCUAUUAGAAAAAUAAGCAAAGGAAAAACAGGCAAUUCAUAAAAAGAAAGGGAGGGAUGUCUCCUAAAUAUGUUAAAAGACUGUCAGCCUCAGAAAUAAUAGAAAUGUAAAUUAAAAGCAUUCUGAAAUACCAUUUUUCACCUUUCAGAUUAACUAAGACCAACAGGUUGACGCAGUAGGGAAAUAGAGGUACAACGCUAGUGAGAUUAUAAAUUAAUAGAACUUCUGAGUCACUUGGCAUUCUUACAAAACUGCAAGCACAAAUAUCCUUCGACCUAACAAUUACUAUUUACAGGAAUUUAUCCCCCAAGUGUAUCAAAAUGAUUCUGCACAGCAUACACAUUAUAGCAUUGUUUGUAAUAGAGAAAAUGGAAAUAUUCCAAAUGCACAUCAGAGGGGACAGAGUAAUGAGUUGUGUAUGUCCAUUCAAUGAGGUCCUCUGCAGCCUUUGAAAGACUGAGACAGCCCUGUGAUGUGGAACGGGCUUUCAGAUGUAGUGAUGUUAAGUGAAAGAGCAGGGUGCAGGGCAGUGUGGAUAGUGUGACACCACUUGUGUUGUGGGCGAGGAGAAGUCACACUUAGGUGUAUGCUCGUCUCUGAACUGAUUAUUUCUGGAAAGAUACCAAAGAAACCUAACAGUGAUUAUCUCUGGGAAGAGCACUGGUUGGCGGUGGGCAGGGGUGAAAGACUUUUUUGAAAAUGUUUAUUGGAGUAUAGUUGACUUACCAUAUUGUGUUUCAUGUGUACAACAAAGUGAAUCAGUCAUACACGUAUUAAAAGGAAACAUUUUUUUCCAUUGUCUACACUCUUCAGCCUUUUAAUUUUGUAUCAUGUAUAUGUACUACCUAUUUUCAAAAAUAAUUUUAAAACUAAAGUAAUGAAAAAUUAUGGGACUUCCAGGUGGUUCAGUGGUUAAGAAUCCACCUGCCAAUGCAGGGUACUUGGGUUUGAGCCCUGCUCCAGGAAGAUCCCACAUGCUGUGGAGCAGCUAAGCCCACAUGCCACAACUAUUGAGUCUGUGCUCUGCAACAAGAGAAGCCACCACAGUGAGGAGCCCGUGCACCACAAUGAAGAGUACUCCCAGCCGCAGGCUCUCCGCAACUGGAGAAAGCCCGUGUGCAGCAAUGAAAGUUCAACACAGCCAAUAAAUUAAUUAAUUAAUUUAAAAAAUAAAAUAAUGAAAAUUACAAAGAAAAAUAUGGAUUGUUUUGACAAUGUAAAAGUUUACCUGUGUUACAAAAUGUAUCACAAAAAAAGUCACCAGCAUUGAGAAAAAUAAGGACACAUUGAAUGUUUUUAAUGUGCUAGAUGCUUUACAUGGAUUACUUAAUCCUCAUAAAUCCACUGAGAAAUGUAAAAUUUUAACUGUGUCAUCUAGAAAGAAGGGAUUAAGGGAGACUUUGAGAUAACAGCAUUCAGCUAGUAAGGGGCCAAGGGUAUAUUUGAACUCGAGUCUUUCUGAUUUCAAUGGUUUUGGGUUUUUUUCUUCAGCAAACCACAGGCCUUCCAAGUUAGUGAUCCUUUUACGUUAACAAAAGUGCACCUGCCUCAACAGUCAUGAGCAGCAGUUACCUGAAAUGUCCACAAGGUGGAAAUGUUGGAUGAUAGUGGGCAUUUUUCUCUGUAAAACAUGAUGCUACCCUACCCCAGUGGAAGAGUUAAGUAGAUAUAAUCUAUUUUGCAGUAAUGAUAUUUUUCUUUAGUACUUUGUUAUGUAGCCAGCUAGAAUGUUUUAGUCAGUGUUCCUCUGUCAUAAUAGUAGUUAAUAUGGUUUUUUAUAUGCCAGAUGGUAUUCCUUUUACAUCUUUUUAAACAAAUAAUAUUAUGAGGUGUUUGCUAUUAUAAUCUUCAUUUUAGCAAUGAGGAAUAGAGCAUAGAGAUAAUAAGUAGCUUAUUUAGAGCAGCACAGCUAGUAAAUGAUAGCGCUGGAAUUCAAACCUACACAGUUAUUGCUGUCUCUUUUUUGAAAAAAGAUACAGGUUUGUUUUCCCAGUGUGAUUUUGUUUAUGUAAGUUUUACCUGGACAUAAAUUUAAGAAUACUGCUUUUAGUAAACUGUUAUUAGCUGGAUGUCUCUUGGACUGUAUACUCCCUAAUUUCCAAAUUAAUAUGUAUAUGGAGAAAACAAGGACAUUAUGUCUUAAAAUCUGAACUGUGAAUUAAAAUAUUAGUGGCCAGAAUUUCACUCUUAGCAGUAGAAAACAUCUCAGAUCCUCUCUUGAGGAUCUUUCUUACCCACCCUCCUGUGUUUAAAGUUACAUAUCUUAAGUUGUCCACGUUUCAUUGUGGAAACAUUGACCUAAGGAAAUGCCACAUUUAUUACUCUAUGACAUAGCUUGGACAUGAGAGAAAAAUGAAUUAAAUCAGUAAAAGUGUAUAUUUUCUUUAGUUGCUGAACUUAAAGUGAAAACCAGAGAAAAUUUAGAAGCUGGGGGGGAAAAGAAGCUUUGAUAGUGCAGAGCUUAAAAAGGGAUUAAAAGCAAGUUGUGAAACUAUAAUUGUUUAAAAAAUGAAAUCAGGAAACUCAAAAAAGAUGAUCAGACGAAAGAAAUAUAAAUAGUUCUGAAGAGAGCUUGACAGUAAGCUAAACUGAAAAUAAGGUGGACUUGCUGAACUUCAAGCAGGUGAACCACCCGCUGAACCGACAUUGAAAGGUCCUUGCGAUUCAGCCCAACGCA